CGCUCAGUGUCUCGUGGGCUCGGAGAUGUGUAUAAGAGACAGGUACUGUGAAGGAAAGGUGAAAAGAACCCCGAACAGGGGAGUGAAAUAGAACCUGAAACCAUACGCUUACAACCGGUCGGAGCAGUUUCGUGCUGUGACGGCGUGCCUAUUGAAUAAUGAGCCUACGAGUUACUAAUCACUGGCGAGGUUAAGUGCACGGAUGCACGGAGCCGAAGCGAAAGCGAGUCUUAAUAGGGCGUUUAGUCAGUGGUUGUAGACGCGAAACCUUGCGAUCUACCCUUGAGCAGGUUGAAGGUUGGGUAAAACCAACUGGAGGACCGAACGAAUAAGCGUUGAAAAGCUUCUCGAUGACUUGAGGGUAGGGGUGAAAGGCUAAUCAAGCUGGGAAAUAGCUCGUACUCCCCGAAAUGCCUUUAGGGGCAGCGUUGUAAUAAAGAGUCUACUGGAGGUAGAGCUACUGAUUGGAUGCGGGGGCUUCACCGCCUACCAAAUCCUGACAAACUCCGAAUGCCAGUAGUAUGAUUUACAGCAGUGAGCGACCGGGUGCUAAUGUCCGGUUACGAGAGAGGAACAACACAGACCAGCAACUAAGGUCCCCAAGAGUAUACUAAGUUGAUCUAACGAUGUUUUGUUGCAGAGACAGCUAGGAUGUUAGCUUGGAAGCAGCUAUUCAUUCAAAGAGUGCGUAACAGCUCACUAGUCGAGCGACAAAGCGUGGAUAAUAAACGGGCAUCAAGUAUACCACCGAAGUUCUGGGCACGAAAGUGCGGUAGGGGAGCAUUCCAUUCAGCGUCGAAGCAGUUUCGUGAGGAAUUGUGGAGCGUAUGGAAAAGCAAAUGUAGGCAUGAGUAACGAUAAUGCGGGAGAGUAACCCGCACACCGCAAGACCAAGGUUUCCUGAUCAACGCUAAUCGGAUCAGGGUUAGUCGGGUCCUAAGGGUAAGCCGAACGGCGAUCUCGAUGGAUAAUCGGUUAAUAUUCCGAUACUAACAUAUACCUCGAUGGAGAGACGAAGGAACGUAAGUGCCGCCACCUGACGGAAUAGGUGGUUAAAGGGCGUAGGUAUAGGGGCAGAUUAAGAGUUAGUCCUUGCUGAAACCUGACAGUACAGAGAGCCUACGGGCAAUUUGAUAGUGCACCCAAGUCGACUUCCGAGAAAAUCUUCUAAGUUAUAGUAUAUGUUACCCGUACCGUAAACCGACACAGGUGGUCGAGGAGAGUAUCCUAAGGUGCUCGAGUGAAUCACGGUUAAGGAACUAGGCAAAUUAACCCCGUAACUUCGGGAAAAGGGGUCCCAUCGCGAGGUGGGCGCAGCGAAGAGGUCCAGGCGACUGUUUAUCAAAAACACAGGGCUCUGCAAAUUCGAAAGAAGACGUAUAGGGCCUGACACCUGCCCGGUGCUGGAAGGUUAAGAGGGGAUGUCAUCGCAAGAGAAGCAUUGAAUCGAAGCCCCAGUAAACGGCGGCCGUAACUAUAACGGUCCUAAGGUAGCGAAAUUCCUUGUCGGGUAAGUUCCGACCUGCACGAAUGGUGUAACGAUCUGGACACUGUCUCAACCGUGAGCUCGGUGAAAUUGUAGUCCCGGUGAUGAUGCCGGGUACCCGCAACGGGACGAAAAGACCCCGUGAACCUUUACUAUAGCUUAACGCUGAAUUUGGGUACACAAUGUGUAGGAUAGGCAGGAGACUAUGAAGCGGGUACGCCAGUAUUCGUGGAGUCAACGUUGAAAUACGGCCCUUUGUGUACUUGGAUUCUAACCCUUGAUAGGGGACACCGUUUGGUGGGUAGUUUGACUGGGGUGGUCGCCUCCAAAAGCGUAACGGAGGCUUCCCAAGGUACCCUCAGCACGAAUGGUAACCGUGCGUAGAGUGCAAUAGCAUAAGGGUGCUUGACUGUGAGACCAACAAGUCGAUCAGGUGCGAAAGCAGGGUAUAGUGAUCCGGUGGUUCUGCGUGGACUGGCCAUCGCUCAAAGGAUAAAAGGUACUCCGGGGAUAACAGGCUGAUCGCCGCCAAGAGCUCAUAUCGACGCGGCGGUUUGGCACCUCGAUGUCGGCUCGUCACAUCCUGGGGCUGGAGAAGGUCCCA
rnacentral:rRNA from 1 species